rnacentral:rRNA from 1 species
AAAGUCCCCUUCGGGGGAUUAGUAGAGUGGCGUCCGGGUGAGUAACACGUAGGUAAUCUACCUUCGGGUGGGGAAUAACGCAGGGAAACUUGCGCUAAUACCGCAUAAUGCAGCGGCACCACAUGGUGACAGUUGUUAAAGCGGGGGAUUUUCGAACCUCGCGCCUGAAGAGGAGCCUGCGGCAGAUUAGCUAGUUGGUAGGGUAACGGCUUACCAAGGCGACGAUCUGUAGCCGGCCUGAGAGGGCGGUCGGCCACACUGACACUGACAUACGGGUCAGACUCCUACGGGAGGCAGCAGUCGGGAAUUUUGGGCAAUGGGCGAAAGCCUGACCCAGCAACGCCGCGUGAAGGAUGAAAUCCCUCGGGAUGUAAACUUCGCAAGAAUGGGAAGAAUUAGCGAGUAUUAAUACUGCUCGUGAUGACGGUACCAUUUGUAAGCUCCGGCUAACUCCGUGCCAGCAGCCGCGGUAAUACGGGGGGAGCAAGCGUUGUUCGGAUUUACUGGGCGUAAAGGGCGCGUAGGCGGUCAGCACAAGUCAGUUGUGAAAUCUCCGGGCUUAACUCGGAAAGGUCAACUGAUACUGUGCGACUAGAGUGCAGAAGGGGCAACUGGAAUUCUCGGUGUAGCGGUGAAAUGCGUAGAUAUCGAGAGGAACACCUGCGGCGAAGGCGGGUUGCUGGGCUGACACUGACGCUGAUGCGCGAAAGCCAGGGGAGCGAACGGGAUUAGAUACCCCGGUAGUCCUGGCCUUAAACGAUGGAUGCUUGGUGUCUGGAGUUUUAUAGUCUCCGGGUGCCGUAGCUAACGCGUUAAGCAUCCCGCCUGGGGAGUAC